rnacentral:lncRNA from 1 species
UCAAUUAAAAUGAUUUCUUCCACCUAACUAAAGUCAGUUUGAUAACGAAUCAAUUUAGCUGCCACUUUUGGUACACUUUCAAGUUGAAGUAGAUCUUUUUUCCUUGUAGAUAUUUUUAGCUUUUCGACAAACUCUUUUUUGAGCAUCGUCAUAGCCAAACACAUGAGAAAUAUAACAGCUUUUGAGACAAGUAUAAAAGAAUAUGUCUAUGACAAUGCCAAUGGUCUAGAUGAUGAUUGCAGCCCUUGAUUUUCUGUUUGACAACGUUGCAUCCUCUUUAUUUUAAGUUCUAUAAUAUUGUAUUGUAUUGUCAAUCCAAUAUAGUUUACUAGUAGGGCUCUUUGUUUCUUCAAAAUUAUUACCCAAAUUAGGAUGGAUUUUAGUCACUGUUUUCUUGAAAUCGAUACCAAGAACCUUACAUAGUGAAUUCACUAUAUUUAUGAGGUCCAAUACUUGAUUCAGGUGAUCACUCUUAUUUUGUUGAAGAUCUCAAAGCUCACUAUGCAACUUUUCAAGCUUUCUUAUAGACAAAUCAGUUUCAUCCACAAUUAUGCUAGAUGGAGUGUCUUCAGAAUCAUUAUAUAACACAUCUGUAAUAUUUUUAAUUUGCUCAAAAACUUUAUCAAAUUGAUUAUUUCUCUCCUCUAAUUUUUACUUUCGAUCCAUGUUAUGAAAAUAUGCUUUCAUGCCUUCUAACCUAUCACCUUUAUAGAAAUGAUGAAUGUAUUUUUAUUAUUCAAGGAUUCUUUCAUCUCAAGCCAAUCAACUAUGGGGGUUUGGUGUCGUUGAGCAUAAUAUUGCUCAGUGCUCUACCAAAAGAAUUUGGCUAGGCCAACUAAUUUCAAUUUAACCAACCAAACUUUUCUAUCAUCAAAUAAUUUGUACCAAUCAAAGAUGUGAUACAUCUUAAGAACUCAGUUGGUAAAGAUUUGGGGAUCAGGGCGGCCAUCAAAGGUUGGGAUAUUGCAUUAGAACUCAAAAAUUCAAGAAUCCAAUUAUGAUAUCAAAAAAAUUGAGAACAAACUAUAAUUUUUAAAACUUUCAUGACUGAUCUGAAAUUCAUGAAUUUUUAGUCACUGGUCUGCAAUUUUUAAAACUUUAACUACUAAUUUGAAAUUUUUGAAAUUUUUAAUAACUUAUCUGAAAUUUAAAAAAAAAAUCCACUGAUAUGCAAUUAUUGAAUCUUUACGGAAAAUCUGUAAUUUCAGAAUUCUUAGGGACAAAAAUAAAAUUAACGAAACUUCAAGUAUCAAAAUGUAAUUACAGAAAAUUUAAAGGACCAAACUAUAUUUUUUUCAAAGUCUAGUGACUAAAUCAUAAUUUUAUAAAAUUUCAGGGAUUGAAAGUGUAAUUUAUCAAACAGAUUUGCUGACAUGGAUGCUGACGUUGGCAUGGAUCUGACGUAGCAUUGACGUGGGUGCUGACGUGGGUGCGUGAGAGCGUGAAGACCACUCAUCUUCUUCUUUUGUCGGCGAGUGGCUAAGAGUAGAUCUCACGCGUAGUAGGAUGGUGGUGCGUGAAGGUGUGUGUGACGAUUUUUGGCGUUUGUGUUUGAAGCUUCGGCCUCAUCUCGUCGAUACAAACACAAUGUUGCUAUCAAAAGUCGAUUUUAAGCACUUUUGAAUAGAUCCAAAACUCGAAUAUAGCUGUGAAGGUCCGAUUCGACCAAAUCGAGAUUAGAUUAAGAGGUUGAGUGGCUACUCCAAUUUCUGGAAGAUAUUCCAAGAUAAUCAAAACUUGUGUCUGCGAUUUAUCAUUCGUUCCGAUAUCAAUCUUGCGAUAGGUAGGGCACAGUAAUAUGUAUAGAAUGGUAAGUUUAGACCAUAUCGUUAUCGACAUAAUACCAUUAGAUAAUGUACUCUUAGUAUGAUAUUGCCUAUUGGACUACCUGAGUCAAAGGAUAAUAUCGCGGGAUCCACGUACCAAAGGUUAAAAGCCCGAGGCUAGUUUCAUCAAGCAAUCGAACAUAAAUGAUUUUUAAGCAUAUGAAAUAGAUAUGUAUCGUGAAGGAAAACCCAAUCUAGUUGACUAAAAAUCCCAAGAUCUGGGUUCAAUGGGACAACCUACUUGCGUAUAUCUAAGAUAAUCACUAUAGAAUUGAAUAACUCCUACCCUUUCCUAUGAUACAAAAUGGUUGUGGAUAAGGUUAAAUGUUGACGUUUAAUGACUUUUUGCGCUGAUGAGCCUAGCUAAGUAUAGUAUAUACUCAUCAUAAGAAGUUACCUAUAUGAAUGUGAAGUGGGGUCGUUUUUUUGAGAAUUUAGAAAGACAAAAUCUCGAGAAAAUACUUGUAGAACAAGAAAAAGUGUUCCAUGGCCGAAAUGGACACAAUAGUGAGAACUGAAUUGCGUUAGGAGAAGUCCCUAUGUGACGUCUAUUUUCUCAAUUUACACCAACGGCGGCACAAUUCAAGACGGUCCCGAUCCACUGGUCUGCUAAUAAACUCGAUAGUUAGGGAAGGUUCAAGGUCAAAAGCUACCUGUCCUAUGCAAAAAUUAUA